CCCUUAGAUGUCCUGGGCUGCACGCGCGCUACACUGAUGUGUCCAGUAAGCACCUAACCUCUUCCGAAAGGAACGGGUAACCUUUGCAAAGCACAUCGUGAUGGAGAUAGAUUAUUGCAAUUAUUAGUCUUGAACGAGGAAUUCCUAGUAAGCACAAGUCAUCAGCUUGUGUUGAUUACGUCCCUGCCCUUUGUACACACCGCCCGUCGCUCCUACCGAUUGAAUGUUCCGGUGAGCUCUUCGGACUGCGCGGUCUGCAGUUUCUGCGUUCCGUGCGGAAAGUUGCGCAAACCUUAACAUUUAGAGGAAGGAGAAGUCGUAACA
rnacentral:rRNA from 1 species